rfam:Acidovorax sp. JS42, complete genome.
GAAGCACGCCAGACCGCCGCUGGUGCAAUCUGGGAAACCAGGCACUGGAGGAACGUCCGGACUGCACAGGACAGCGUAGCAGCUAACGGCUGCCCACCGUGAGGUGAGGAUCAGAGCAACAGAGACGAGUCCCGGGGGAGUGCCUGCGAAGGCAGACCACUGGGGGUGAAACGGGCAAUCUCUACGCGCAGCAAUACCAAGUAGGCCAGCGUUGACGUGGUUCCGCGGAGCUGGCGGGUAGGUAGCACCGAGCCGUGGUGGUGACACCCGGCCCAGAUUAAUGGCGGUCACGCUGCGGGCAACCGCAGUGCACAGAAUCCGGCUUAUCGGCGCGCUUCACAC